UUCUCUCUCUAAAACCAGGUUCUUCAAAUCCUCUGUCUUCUCUCUAGCUUUACUCUCCAUUGAACCGUUCAAAUCUUACUUGGGUGCUGCCAAACCGUUCCUGGCGUCAAGGGCUUCACUUCGAACCGAUUACUUUCUCUGUCUCCUUCUGGUAAGUUGUUUCCCUGUUUCCUCUGCCAUUUUCGAAACCUAGGAUUUGGGGUUUUACUGAUUUAAAGCACCCUUUUCUGAUUUCUAUUGUGUUCUAGCCCUAAGAGUUGUUCUCCAUCACCAAUUUGGUGAUUUGUAGGUUCUGUAAGUGCAUCGUUGUGUGGGUCAUUGUUAGGGUGUUUUCUGUAGACUGUACGGGACAACCUAGAGAUAAGGGGAGCUAGUUAUAUUUCUUUGAAUUAUUUAUUUAUUCUGUAUGUAUGGAAUUUUAUUUUGGUGUGUUGUUUUGGAAAAUGAUGAAAAAUUAGUAUGCUUAAUCUAUGAUGGCUUGUCAAGUAGUGAUUUUAUUGAAUUAAAUGGUUGUAGAUUAGACUGUUAUGAGUUGCUUGGGGGUAGAAAAUUAUAUUCUAGUACUGUUAAAAUGGGGAAUCAAUUUCUGGGGUAGUGCUUUAUGGAGUAGUUCAUGGUGGUGUUGAUUGGGUUUCAUUAAGUAUGAGAAAGUAAAAAUUUUAGACUGUGUAAAUGGUGCAGGUUUUAAGAAAGAAGUAGAAAAUAAAAGAAAAAAAAAAACAAAUGGGAGAAGGUGGGCCGUGAGAGGAUGGGAGGUUUAUGUUUCUGGAGUUGAAAAGAAUAGGAGGAAUUUUAGUUUUUUUAGUGGAGGUGCCAGGGAGUUAGGUUUUGGAAAAUUUAAUAUUUGGAAGGCUUUAAUGGAUUGGAUGUAGACAAAAAUAUAAUUAAUAUAAUAUAAUAUAUUAUGUAAUAUAUAUAAGAUAGAGAGAUUUUCGGAUCUUAAUAUUAAUAAUAUAUAUAUAUAUAUAUAUAUAUAUAUAUAUAUAUAUAUAUAUAUAUAUAGAGAGAGAGAGAGAGAGAGAUAGAUAGAUAGAUAGAUAGAUAGAUAGAUAAGGUAGGACUUACGUAAGUUUAUGCAGGUGUUGGGUUCAUAGUUUAUUAUUUAUUUUAAAAAGAAAAAGUUGUUGUAUUGAUUAGAAAAUGGAGAUUGAUAGAUAAUAUUAUAUUUUAUAUUAUAUCUAAUGAUUAUUUUUUUAUUAUGAUUCUUGUAUAUUAUAUAAUAAUAUAUAAUUUUUAUACAAAUUAUAUAUAUGUAUGUUAAAAUUUUUAAGUGAGCAUUAAACUUUUAGUUAAAGUAUUUGUUACUUCUGUUAGCAAUAAUAGUCAGGAGUUGGUAUGAAAGGGGAGAAUCAGAGAAGGGGUUCUGGUUCCUUUUUGUUUGUUCCUCAUUUUAUGGUUGAUCAAAUGAUAGUUACUUGGUUUAUGGAACAUGGUUUAAUAUAAGGCCUUGUCUUUAAAACUUUAACAUGUGUGUUGAUUAUAAUCCAAAGUAUAGGAGUUCGAAAGUAAAGAGGUAUGAAUUCCAUGUUGUUCAUGGUAUGUUUCAAAGUAUAUUAUAAUUCAUGUUAGUAAGUGUGAUUCAAAGUGUCGAAUCUCUUGGUGAGAUUCUUAGUGUUUUAAAAUGAAAGUAGGGGCUCAGUCUUGGGAGUCAUUCUGACGCUUCAAUGGUCAAUCAAACUCACUUAGAGAGGUUGAACCAUGUGGUGAGAAGUAGCAGGAGGUCCUUAGUCUUGGGGGCUCCCAGUAUGCCUCAAGGCGCGGAACGGACUAACCUCGUGAGUGUGGCAGGGUGGGGAACCCAAGUUUCAUAAGUCACCACGGGUGCAAGACUCGUCAUAGCCCGACUAUCAUUUUAAAGUCCGGACGAGUCAAGUCUAGAAUGAACAUUGCUUAUGUUGUAUUUCUUACUAUUUUGAUCUAAGUUCACUCUUGUAUGAUUAUAUGUUUAAUCUGAUACAUGUUUUUUUAUAUAAUUAGCUCACCCUUGCAUUGCUUGUGUUGUGCCAUGUUUGUGUGUGCUUUCCUGUUGCGAUGAUCAUCCAUUUUGGAUGUGAGCAGAGAAGAAUGAGGUCUCCCUAGAGAACGUCUCGGAAGGAAAUGAAGAUGCUGCUGCGUAGACUCUUUAGGAUUUCUGGGCCUGUUGAGCCCUUUUGGAACACUUUUAAAUUUAUGUCAUUUUGAGAUACUCUAGCACUUUAAGUUUCAAAGUCUUACUCAAUUUGUGGAUGAC
rnacentral:lncRNA from 1 species